UUAAUACCUUUGCUCAUUGACGUUACCCGCAGAAGAAGCACCGGCUAACUCCGUGCCAGCAGCCGCGGUAAUACGGAGGGUGCAAGCGUUAAUCGGAAUUACUGGGCGUAAAGCGCACGCAGGCGGUUUGUUAAGUCAGAUGUGAAAUCCCCGGGCUCAACCUGGGAACUGCAUCUGAUACUGGCAAGCUUGAGUCUCGUAGAGGGGGGUAGAAUUCCAGGUGUAGCGGUGAAAUGCGUAGAGAUCUGGAGGAAUACCG
rnacentral:rRNA from 1 species